CGCGAAAACUCCACCAUGCGCGAAAGCGUGAUGGGGUUAACCCGAGUGCCGUCCGAUGAGGAUGGCUUUUCUUCAGUUUAAGGAUCUGGAGGAAUAAAGGGGGGGCAAGACUGGUGUCAGCCGCCGCGGUAAUACCAGCCCCCUGAGUGGUAGGGACGAUUAUUUGGCCUAAAGCGUCCGUAGCCUGUUUGGGAAGUCUUUCGUUAAAUCCGACGAUUCCAUCGUUGGGACGCGGAAGAUACUGCCAGACUUGACGACGGGAGAGGUCGACGGUAGUCCUAGGGUAGGGGUGAAAUCCUAUAAUCCUAGGAGGACCACCAGUGGCGAAGGCGGUCGACUAGAACGUGCCUGACGGUGAUGGACGAAAGCUGGGGGAGCGAACCGGAUUAGACACCCGGGUAGUCCCAGCUGUAAACGAUGCGAGCUAGGUGUUGGAGCAACUACGAGUUGCUCCAGUGCCGCAGAGAAGUUGUUAAGCUCGCCGCCUGGGAAGUACGGCCGCAAGGCUGAAACUUAAAGGAAUUGGCGGGGGAGCAC
rnacentral:rRNA from 1 species